rnacentral:rRNA from 1 species
GACGAACGCUGGCGGCGUGCUUAACACAUGCAAGUGGAGCGACGAACCAGGGCUUGCCCUGGGGCAGAGCCGCGAACGGGUGAGUAACACGUGGGUAACCUGCCUCGAUGAUCGGGACAACCCGGGGAAACCCGGGCUAAUACCGAAUGUGCUCCGACCACAUCAGUGGAAGGCGGAAAGGAAGCUUCUGCCACCGCAUCGCGAUGGGCCCGCGGCCCAUUAGCUUGGUGGAGGGGUAAAGGCCCACCAAGGGCUCGAUGGGUAGCUGGUCUGAGAGGGCGAUCAGCCACACUGGGACUGAGACACGGCCCAGACUCCGACGGGAGGCAGCAGUGGGGAAUCUUGCGCAAUGCGCGAAAGCGUGACGCAGCAACGCCGCGUGGGGGAAGACGGCCUUAGGGUUGUAAACCCCUUUCAGGAGGGACGAAGGUCGGCGCGUUAAUAGCUUGUCCGACUGACGGUACCUCCACAAGAAGCCCCGGCUAACUACGUGCCAGCCGCCGCUGUAA